rnacentral:tRNA from 1 species
GUCCUGAUAGCUUAGUUGGUAAAGAAUCUGUCUGCAAUGCAGGAGACCUGGUUCGAUUCCUGGGACA